UACGGGGGGGGCAAGCGUUGUUCGGAAUUACUGGGCGUAAAGGGCUCGUAGGCGGCCAACUAAGUCGGGUGUGAAAUCCCCAAGCUUAACUUGGGAACUGCAUCCGAUACUGGAUGGCUUGAAUCCGGGAGAGGGAUGCAGAAUUCCAGGUGUAGCGGUGAAAUGCGUAGAUAUCUGGAGGAAUACCGGUGGCGAAGGCGGCAUCCUGGACCGGCAUUGACGCUGAGGAGCGAAAGCCAGGGGAGCAAACGGG
rnacentral:rRNA from 1 species